UGAGGAAUAUUGGUCAAUGGACGGGAGUCUGAACCAGCCAAGCCGCGUGAAGGAAUAAGGCCCUACGGGUCGUAAACUUCUUUUGUCGGGGAACAAAUACGGGGACGUGUCCCCGGUUGCGUGUACCCGAAGAAAAAGCAUCGGCUAACUCCGUGCCAGCAGCCGCGGUAAUACGGAGGAUGCGAGCGUUAUCCGGAUUUAUUGGGUUUAAAGGGUGCGUAGGCGGCCGGGAAAGUCAGCGGUAAAAGAGCGGGGCUCAACCCCGUCAAGCCGUUGAAACUGUCCGGCUCGAGAGGAAGAGAAGUAGGCGGAAUGCGCGGUGUAGCGGUGAAAUGCAUAGAUAUCGCGCAGAACUCCGAUUGCGAAGGCAGCCUACCGGCUUCUGUCUGACGCUGAGGCACGAAAGCGUGGGUAUCGAACAGG
rnacentral:rRNA from 1 species